GCCAUAAUGCAUGUGCCUGUAAUCCCAGAUACUCAGGAGGCUGAGGUAAGAGGAUCACCUGAGACCAGGAGUUGUAAGCCAACCAGGGCAACAUAGUGAGACUCCGUCUCAA
rnacentral:sRNA from 1 species